GACGAACGCUGGCGGCGUGCCUAAUACAUGCAAGUAGAACGCACAGUUUAUACCGUAGCUUGCUACACCAUAGACUGUGAGUUGCGAACGGGUGAGUAACGCGUAGGUAACCUGCCUGGUAGCGGGGGAUAACUAUUGGAAACGAUAGCUAAUACCGCAUAAUAUUAAUUAUUGCAUGAUAAUUAAUUGAAAGGUGCAAUUGCACCACUACCAGAUGGACCUGCGUUGUAUUAGCUAGUAGGUGAGGUAACGGCUCACCUAGGCGACGAUACAUAGCCGACCUGAGGGGGUGAUCGGCCACACGGGGAUGGAGCCCCGCCCCAGACUCCUGGGGGAGGCAGCGGUGGGGAAUCUUCGGCAAUGGACGAAAGUCUGACCGAGCAACCCCGCGUGAGUGAAGAAGGUUUUCGGAUCGAAAAGCUCUGUUGUAAGAGAAGAACGGGUGUGAGAGUGGAAAGUUCACACUGUGACGGUAUUUUACCAGAAAGGGACGGCUAACUACGG
rnacentral:rRNA from 1 species